CAUAUCAAUAAGCGGAGGAAAAGAAACCAACAGGGAUUGCCCUAGUAACGGCGAGUGAAGCGGCAACAGCUCAAAUUUGAAAGCUGGCUUCGGCCCGCGUUGUAAUUUGGAGAGGAUGCUUUGGGCGAGGCUCCUUCUGAGUUCCCUGGAACGGGACGCCACAGAGGGUGAGAGCCCCGUAUAGUUGGAAGCCAAGCCUGUGUAAAGCUCCUUCGACGAGUCGAGUAGUUUGGGAAUGCUGCUCAAAAUGGGAGGUAAAUUUCUUCUAAAGCUAAAUACCGGCCAGAGACCGAUAGCGCACAAGUAGAGUGAUCGAAAGAUGAAAAGCACUUUGAAAAGAGGGUUAAAUAGCACGUGAAAUUGUUGAAAGGGAAGCGCUUGUGACCAGACUUGCGCCCGGCGGAUCAUCCGGUGUUCUCACCGGUGCACUCCGCCGGGCUCAGGCCAGCAUCGGUUCUGGCGGGGGGAUAAAGGCCCAGGGAAUGUGGCUCCUCCGGGAGUGUUAUAGCCCUGGGUGUAAUACCCUCGCCGGGACCGAGGACCGCGCUCUGCAAGGAUGCUGGCGUAAUGGUCACCAGCGAC
rnacentral:rRNA from 2 species